UGCAGCAGAAGAGGAGCGUUACCCAGGCAGCAAAAUUACGGAGCCCCACUCCUAGGUGAUUUUGUCAGGGGGAGUAACGCCGAGAUAGCCUCAAUUGGGGAUUGUUGUUAUCAGCCUUAAAGGUUGAAUCCUUUGGGCUGUCACCUAAUAGCCACGGUUUGGCUUAGGUGGAGAGCUUCUGAUCAC
rfam:Photobacterium damselae subsp. piscicida DI21 genomic scaffold scaffold00001, whole genome shotgun sequence.